rnacentral:sRNA from 1 species
UUGGAAGAGAAUCCAACUACAAAGGAACCCUAGGGUUUUUAAGGAAGCACCAUCAUUCCAAUUGGAUCAUUAGGGGAAUUUGAGUCAAUUAAAAGUUCUACAAUCAAUUAAUCACGAGGCAGCCGGUAACUAGGACGAGGUAUCCUUG